GGGGAAGCGGAAUGUGCACACUUAACCGCUAUGCCACUCCGCUGGCCCCUGGGCAUCAAAAUUUUUUAAAGUUCCCCUGGUGAUUCUCAUGUGCCACCAAGGUUGGAAACCACGUUUCCAUACCCUUUAGGUAAUUUCAUCUCCUCCUAUGGUUUCAAUUACAAUCUGUAUGCGGACAAUUCUCAAAUGGAAUUACUGAAUUGAAACAAACUCUUUUCUGGGCUCUCAUCCUUGUAUCCGACUGACUACUUCUCACUUCCACUAGAAUGUCUUAUAGGCAACUCAAACUCAGCAUGUCAAAAACCAAACUCAAAAUUUGUAGACACACACACACACAUAUAUACACAUACACACACGUCUUUUUCAGUAUCUUUGAUUCACUGAAUAGUACCAAUGUCUUAGUGUGGAAACUGGAAACCUGAGGCAGGUAGAGAAACUGCCUUUCAUUUUUCCUCAUCUAGUCUCCACAUCUUGCCUCUUCUGCCUUCUGAACUCCGCUGCAGGCACCCUGGUCUAGGCCUCUGUCAUCUUUGGCCAGAACCUUGCUUACAAAUCUCCCUGUAUUCAUUUACAUUCCCUUCUAAUUUUUCUCCAUACUGUGGUCUUAAUGAUCUUUUAAAAAUCCAAAACUGAUUGUGCCCUUCUCCUACUUGAAGCCCUUUAAUGGUUUCGUUUGCUCUUAGGACAAAGGCCGGAAUCUCUGACCCUAGCCAACAAGACUCUGUGGGCUGGUCUCUUGUCUCUCUCUAGUGUCAUUGUCAUCUCAUGCCAUGCUUCUCCUUAGUCUUUGUGCUUCAGCCUCAGAUUCUUCAGUAGAUUGUAUUCCUUCUUCUUCUAGGGCUUUUUGCACACGCUGUUCACUAGUCUGGAAGGCUUUCUGCUUUUCUCCCUGGAUUUUGGCUGGCUACUACAUACUCAUCCUUUAAGUUUCAGCCUACAAGUCACUUCUUUGGGAAAAGCUUCCUGGAUUCUUCAAACCAGGCCCUGUCUCCUCAUUAAAGUCUCAUAGCCUUAUGUAUUUUCCUUUUGAGCACUUAAAGCAAUAAACAAAUAAUUAUACAGUUAAUAUUAAUGUCUAGAUCAGGAAUUGGCAAAACUACAGCCCAUGGGCCCAGCCUUGCAGGCCCCCUGUUUUUGUGGCCCUUACAAGCUAAGAUUGCUGAAAAUGGUAUCUGUAUUUUUCAGUGGUUGAAAAAAUCAAAAGAAGAACGUUAUUGCAUGGGAAAUUUAGUUCAUAAAAAUUAUAUGAAAUUUGAAAUAAAGUUUUAUUGGGACACAACCACACUCAUUUGUUUGUAUAUCGUCUGUAGCUUUCUUACUACAAUGGCAGAGGUGAGUAGUUAGUUGUGGCCCAGAAGCGUAAAUACGUACUCUGUGGCCCUUUACAGAAAAUGUUUACUGUCCCCCGGUCCAGACUGAUCUGAUAAAGAGAGGGACCAUCUGCUCGUUCAUUGCUGUUAUCAGUGUCUCUCUGCUUAGCUGGUACCUGGUGUUGGUAGGUGCUCGUGAAAUAUUUGAACAAAUUAACAAAUACUCUCUUUCCUUCUAUGGAUGGAUGUGGAUAACUCCUACUUCAGCAAUUCUCGUGUUUUAAAAUUCAAUACAAAAAUUGUUAAAAAGGAUAAAUACAGUCGAAGGAGCGUCUCAACAGAGUUUUCAGCAGCAGUCUUAAGCAGCUUGUCUUGGCCGCUGUGCAUCUCCGUGUGAAGCACGCGUACUCAUAGAGGUGUAAGUUACGGGGUCAAGGUGGAUGGGAAAAGACUGGUCCGCUCCAGUAACGGCCAGUUGGAUUUACAGUGCUGAUGUUUCUAUAGCAGGCACAAAUGGAUGGGACUUUAUGUGUAGUGUUAUAAAGAAAAAGUGUUUGAGCUGGUGAAAAUUUCAAUCAUUAAAGAGACAUUGUUAUUUCUGCUGUGGGAAUUCACUCUGUGAAAAUGGUUAAAGUUUCCAGCACAGUAGUAUUUCUUCUGUUUUAGUGCUUUUUGUUUUCUCAUGUAUUUGGAAUAUAGCGUAGCAUAAAAUACCAAUUUUGAAUUUAUGCAUUGUAUCAAACUUAGUGCUUUUUCUAAAAGGUAAUUUUUGAAAAAGAUUUGCAUUUUUCAGUAUGUUUUAAUAUACUCAACAGGAGAGUGUUAGUUUUUCCCCCCGUUGGAUUCUUUUCUGAUUUCAUGUCAUUUGUAUAAUAGGAUUUACUUAAAAAACAUUUGGUUGAUAAACCGCUGUAAUUUAUUUCUUUUGAAAAUAGUAAUAUUACUCUUUUUAGCUGCUCUCUACAACAUCCCAGAACCAAAUAUUUAGACAUUUAUUUAGUAAGGAAACUCUUAAAAUCUAUUUUAAUUCUAAUUUUUAAGGUUGCCAGAUAUACUGAAAAGUGUUAAACAUAAGUGUUGAUUUCUUGAUAUGUUUAUAUAAUGUAAAAUAAGGAAAACAGCAAAAAGAUGGAAAAAUUGGUGGUUACUUAAAAUGUUCAAGUAGCAGUGAAGGUAUUAAAGUUUGCUCCUUUUUCUUUUUGUAGCGUUGUGAUAAUGUGAUGAUAACAAUGAUCGUGUAAGAUUUUUCGUUAUGGACAAUUUAGGAUGAUUCAGCUGUAAGAAAUAAAAAAAAAAACCUUAAAUCUAAAUAGCUCAAGCAUUAAGGAAAGAUUAUCUCUGGUAAGUGAGAGGUAGGGUGGCUUCCUGGUUGGCUAGUUCAGUGGCUUGAUGAUGUCAACAAGGGCCUGAGUUCUCUCUCUGUCAUUUUAAGGGAGGUAGCUUUUCCUCACUUAGCUUCCCUCUUGAUCCCAAGACGGAUGUGGCUCUCCCACCUCCUUUUGCUGAGCUGACAAUCUCUAGUGGUUUUCCUUUAGUAGGAGUUAGGGAGGGCUGCAUGCUCAGCCCUAAACAGCCUCUAGCAAGGGGGAGGCAAAAGACCAGGUAAUUGGCUUAGACUAACCAGGAUUUCCCUGAGUCAAGUGGAGGACAGAGCAAAACCAGAACAAAAUUAGAGUCUGCCAGCAAUGCAGAGGGUGGCAUGGUGACUGGGUAGGCAGCCAAUAGUAUCUGCUACAUAGUUUUGCCACUUUCUUCUGCCUAUAAAAUCACACUUUUAUAGUGUUUCCUAACAUUUUGCUUCUAUCUCCAUUAUAAAACUUUUCACAGUUCCUGGUUGAAAGUCACACAAUUAUUUUCCUAUUCCCGCAAGGAUUCUGCUCUGGCCACCGCUGAGCUCCUGUCUUUCUCUUUUCCCCACCCCCACGGCCUCUUUCCCAUUCUGAGGCCAAGAUAGCUUCAGGAGAAAGAAGAGCAUUUAAGGUUGAAAUAAUGGCUAAGUAGCUAAUUAGUAUUCCUACAGUCAGUGGUCCCCAAGAGAACCUUGAGGGUUAGUAUAACCUCCCCUUUACUUCUCAAUUUCCUUUUCUACCUAUUCUUACUUCUCACUUCUGUAUGUGUUUAUCUGUCUGAUUGGUACUCAUUUUUUUUUCUUUUUCCUUAAAAUUUUCUUCUUCCUUCUCCUCCCGUCCUUCCCUGAUGCACUAAAGGAGCCAUAAUACGAAGUGGAAUAUACUCGGAUAGAGAAGGAAAAAGAGAGUGCCUUUCUUUUUUUUUCAUGUUUAACUUCUUUUUUUUUCCUGUUUUUUUUGGUUUUUUUUUUUGCAUAAGCAGUAAUAAAACUGAAGAGUCACGUCAUUGUUUAGAAUAUCUUUAUGACGCUAAGAGCUCGCACAGUGUAAAAAAUGCAUCUCUGCAGCAAAGAGCUAAUUUAUAGAAGGGGAAAUAGUACGCUAAUAUGUAAAUAUGUUCAGUCUUGCUAAUAAGCAAAUUAACUCAAAGCACAAAGACUCCCUUUUACACCUGUAACUUUGGUAAAACCUAGCAGAGUGAUAUUAAUUGCUCAUGUGGUUUUGACUCAAGUAUACUUUAUUGAUUUGCUGGAUAAGUUGGAAUGACUCUUUUGGGACACUGAUGACGUACAUUGAAAGCCGGUAAAAAAAGUUAACACUCCUUAUUUAGUAAUCCAAAAGUAUAGUAAAUGCUAUAUGCAAGAAUCUUUCCAUGUGGCAUUAUUUAAAAUAACAAAAGAGUUUAAUUUUAAACAUCAUAUUUCUGGUGUAAAAGUUUCUUUUCUUCAUAUAAAAUUCAAUUGAAUUUAUUCUGUUAGACAUGGGAGUUGAGACGGAGACUAGUUGUGGGGAGAGGAAGAUGAAUUUAAUUUUGCGUAGACUGAGUUGAGGUGAUAUUGAUAUUAAUACUCCCGUGUAGCAAUUUCCCAUGAGCAGUGGAAGACCCAGAAGUGGAUUUCAGAAGAUGCUUUAAGUCAUAUGCACAUGGAGGAGAUGCUUUAAGGGACAAUUCUGAAAAAUCAAGUGUUGGAAGACAACUCUAAAGACAUCAAGUUUUAAAGUCUAGCAUAUAAAAUAUGUUUUGAAACCAGCCAUACUUUUACAUCAAGAGAACGAUUUGGAAUAGACACUUGUGGUUGAAGCAGAUUCAGUUAUGAAAGUUUGGAAAUAGUACUUUAAUAAAGAAACUUCAUUUUAAAAUUGAA